CAGCAGCCGCGGUAACACGAAGGGGGCUAGCGUUGUUCGGAAUUACUGGGCGUAAAGCGCACGUAGGCGGAUAUUUAAGUCAGGGGUGAAAUCCCGCAGCUCAACUGCGGAACUGCCUUUGAUACUGGGUAUCUUGAGUAUGGAAGAGGUAAGUGGAAUUCCGAGUGUAGAGGUGAAAUUCGUAGAUAUUCGGAGGAACACCAGUGGCGAAGGCGGCUUACUGGUCCAUUACUGACGCUGAGGUGCGAAAGCGUGGGGAGCAAACAGGAUUAGAUACCCCCGUAGUCCCUGUCUCUUAUAC
rnacentral:rRNA from 1 species